GGGUUGUGAGGUUAAGCGACUAAGCGUACACGGUGGAUGCCCUGGCAGUCAGAGGCGAUGAAGGACGUGCUAAUCUGCGAAAAGCGUCGGUAAGGUGAUAUGAACCGUUAUAACCGGCGAUGUCCGAAUGGGGAAACCCAGUGUGAUUCGUCACACUAUCGUUAACUGAAUACAUAGGUUAACGAGGCGAACCGGGGGAACUGAAACAUCUAAGUACCCCGAGGAAAAGAAAUCAACCGAGAUUCCCCCAGUAGCGGCGAGCGAACGGGGAGCAGCCCAGAGUCUGAAUCAGCUUGUGUGUUAGUGGAACGGUCUGGAAAGUCCGACGGUACAGGGUGAUAGUCCCGUACACCAAAAUGCACAGGUUGUGAACUCGAAGAGUAGGGCGGGACACGUGGUAUCCUGUCUGAAUAUGGGGGGACCAUCCUCCAAGGCUAAAUACUCCUGACUGACCGAUAGUGAACCAGUACCGUGAGGGAAAGGCGAAAAGAACCCCGGCGAGGGGAGUGAAAAAGAACCUGAAACCGUGUACGUACAAGCAGUGGGAGCACCUUCGGGUGUGACUGCGUACCUUUUGUAUAAUGGGUCAGCGACUUAUAUUCUGUAGCAAGGUUAACCGUAUAGGGGAGCCGCAGGGAAACCGAGUCUUAACUGGGCGUUAAGUUGCAGGGUAUAGACCCGAAACCCGGUGAUCUAGCCAUGGGCAGGUUGAAGGUUGGGUAACACUAACUGGAGGACCGAACCGACUAAUGUUGAAAAAUUAGCGGAUGACUUGUGGCUGGGGGUGAAAGGCCAAUCAAACCGGGAGAUAGCUGGUUCUCCCCGAAAGCUAUUUAGGUAGCGCCUCGUGAACUCAUCUUCGGGGGUAGAGCACUGUUUCGGCUAGGGGGUCAUCCCGACUUACCAACCCGAUGCAAACUACGAAUACCGAAGAAUGUUAUCACGGGAGACACACGGCGGGUGCUAACGUCCGUCGUGAAGAGGGAAACAACCCAGACCGCCAGCUAAGGUCCCAAAGUCAUGGUUAAGUGGGAAACGAUGUGGGAAGGCACAGACAGCCAGGAUGUUGGCUUAGAAGCAGCCAUCAUUUAAAGAAAGCGUAAUAGCUCACUGGUCGAGUCGGCCUGCGCGGAAGAUGUAACGGGGCUAAACCAUGCACCGAAGCUGCGGCAGCGACACUAUGUGUUGUUGGGUAGGGGAGCGUUCUGUAAGCCUGCGAAGGUGUGCUGUGAGGCAUGCUGGAGGUAUCAGAAGUGCGAAUGCUGACAUAAGUAACGAUAAAGCGGGUGAAAAGCCCGCUCGCCGGAAGACCAAGGGUUCCUGUCCAACGUUAAUCGGGGCAGGGUGAGUCGACCCCUAAGGCGAGGCCGAAAGGCGUAGUCGAUGGGAAACAGGUUAAUAUUCCUGUACUUGGUGUUACUGCGAAGGGGGGACGGAGAAGGCUAUGUUAGCCGGGCGACGGUUGUCCCGGUUUAAGCAUGUAGGCUGAUUGUCCAGGCAAAUCCGGAUAAUCAAGGCUGAGGUGUGAUGACGAGGCACUACGGUGCUGAAGUAACAAAUGCCCUGCUUCCAGGAAAAGCCUCUAAGCAUCAGGUAACAUUAAAUCGUACCCCAAACCGACACAGGUGGUCAGGUAGAGAAUACCAAGGCGCUUGAGAGAACUCGGGUGAAGGAACUAGGCAAAAUGGUGCCGUAACUUCGGGAGAAGGCACGCUGGUGUGUAGGUGAAGUCCCUGCGGAUGGAGCUGAGACCAGUCGAAGAUACCAGCUGGCUGCAACUGUUUAUUAAAAACACAGCACUGUGCAAACACGAAAGUGGACGUAUACGGUGUGACGCCUGCCCGGUGCCGGAAGGUUAAUUGAUGGGGUUAUCCGUAAGGAGAAGCUCUUGAUCGAAGCCCCGGUAAACGGCGGCCGUAACUAUAACGGUCCUAAGGUAGCGAAAUUCCUUGUCGGGUAAGUUCCGACCUGCACGAAUGGCGUAAUGAUGGCCAGGCUGUCUCCACCCGAGACUCAGUGAAAUUGAACUCGCUGUGAAGAUGCAGUGUACCCGCGGCAAGACGGAAAGACCCCGUGAACCUUUACUAUAGCUUGACACUGAACAUUGAGCCUUGAUGUGUAGGAUAGGUGGGAGGCUUUGAAGCGUGGACGCCAGUCUGCGUGGAGCCAACCUUGAAAUACCACCCUUUAAUGUUUGAUGUUCUAACGUUGGCCCCUGACCGGGGUUGCGGACAGUGUCUGGUGGGUAGUUUGACUGGGGCGGUCUCCUCCCAAAGCGUAACGGAGGAGCACGAAGGUUAGCUAAUCCUGGUCGGACAUCAGGAGGUUAGUGCAAUGGCAUAAGCUAGCUUGACUGCGAGCGUGACGGCGCGAGCAGGUGCGAAAGCAGGUCAUAGUGAUCCGGUGGUUCUGAAUGGAAGGGCCAUCGCUCAACGGAUAAAAGGUACUCCGGGGAUAACAGGCUGAUACCGCCCAAGAGUUCAUAUCGACGGCGGUGUUUGGCACCUCGAUGUCGGCUCAUCACAUCCUGGGGCUGAAGUAGGUCCCAAGGGUAUGGCUGUUCGCCAUUUAAAGUGGUACGCGAGCUGGGUUUAGAACGUCGUGAGACAGUUCGGUCCCUAUCUGCCGUGGGCGCUGGAGAAUUGAGGGGGGCUGCUCCUAGUACGAGAGGACCGGAGUGGACGCAUCACUGGUGUUCGGGUUGUCAUGCCAAUGGCACUGCCCGGUAGCUAAAUGCGGAAGAGAUAAGUGCUGAAAGCAUCUAAGCACGAAACUUGCCCCGAGAUGAGUUCUCCCUGAGACUUUAAGUCUCCUGAAGGAACGUUGAAGACGACGACGUUGAUAGGCCGGGUGUGUAAGCGCAGCGAUGCGUUGAGCUAACCGGUACUAAUGAACCGUGAGGCUUAACCUUACAACGCCGAAG
rnacentral:rRNA from 1 species